UCCAGUUAUUCGACGUCCGCUUUACGUCCGAUCCGGUCGUUUUUCUGUUCGACAUCGAUGGAUCGCGACGAAAAUAUCCGACUACCAGAAACGGUGCUAGGCUCAGCAUGCAACCGAAACUGCUGAAGGUCGUUAACUCUUAAACUUUUCUGGGUUUCUCCUUCGGUCCGUUCUCCGAAAAUAUUGUUUUCAGAUUCACUGCUACGAUUCACGAACGCUCCGUCGUCAUGGAUUAGGAUUUCGAAGCCAUGACCCGCGACGGGGAUAUACCGACGAUCUUCAACCCCCGAGGAGGUAGAAACCGCGCCCCCAGCGUCCUAAUAACCGACGAGGGGGUGGCCAACGGUCCCUCGUUCGGGCAUUCCGACUCAGUCGGAAGUCAACCCGAUUCCGUGGAACCAUUGUCCCCGGCCACCCCCCAGGCAAACAACGCCCCUGGAUUAAGCGAUGCUGCACACAGGGGAGGAUGUAGCGGGAAACUCAAGUCGUGCUCGGCAUCACUAUGUUCCAAGUCUGCCAGGAAAAUUUACUUUGGAGUAUGGGUAACGAUCUGCGUAACCGCGUCCUGGGUAGGCGCGACACACUGUAUCAAAUACUUAUACCUCAGAAGGCCAAAGGAUGACGACGAGGACCCUAUACUUGUCCCCCACGACACUACCGGUUUUAACAUGACAAUAGUACAAACAAAAUACACGUUAUCUUAUCAAGCACCGUUUUUUACCACAUGGUUCGUGACAAACUGGACAAUGCUUUUCUUUCCUCUAUACUUCUUGAGUAGGUUGAGCAUGAAGAGAUGCGAGUCGAUAUCCGACAUAUUGUCGGAGAGCAUCAGAGAUUUUCGCGACAAAGGAUUUACUGCAGUUCGUUUCAUGACGAGGUGCAGCCUCUUCUGUCUGUUAUGGGUGGGCACGAACUACAUGUAUAUAUUAUCGUUAAAAAUCCUCUUGGCUACGGACGUCAUGGCUCUGUUUGCUACCAACGUUUCUUUCGUUUACCUCUUGUCUUGGGUUAUACUGCACGAACAAUUCGUCGGUAUACGCAUCAUGGCUGUGAUAAUUUGCGAUACAGGAGUUGCGCUGCUAGCUUAUAUGGACGGCAUCACCGGCAGUCCGACACUAGGUGGUGUGGUUCUAGCUACGUCUGCAGCUGCUGGCUCGGGAGUGUACAAAGUGCUGUUUAAAAAGGUGAUCGGAGAAGCGACUUACGGGCAAGUCGCGCUCUUCUUCUCGCUUAUCGGGAUGCUCAAUGCCGCUCUAUUGUGGCCUCUAAGUCUCGGUCUCUUCCUUACCGGAGUUGAAACGCUCCACUGGGAGAAACUGCCUUGGCCCGCAUUGUUGAGUUCGAGUUGCCUCUCGCUAGUGGCCAACCUGUUGGGAAAUUUCAGCGUCGCACUCACCUACGAUUUGUUCAUCACCCUAGGACUGAUCACGGCAGUGCCGGUUUCAGCUGCGUUGGACGUGGUCCUCUACGGUGCUCAGUUCGAAGGCAUGAAGCUUGCCGGGUUGAUUUUGAUAGCGGUUGGAUUUUUCUUGGUCAUGUUUCCCGACAACUGGCCCGAUUACAUCACCAGACUGCUUAGAGCAACCACUCGUUUCUUCAACGGCAAGAAGUAUCAUCAUGUUGACGCACAGUGCGAGAUCAUCUUUCUCCAAUCGAGAGGGUCCACGUGCGUCCAGUAAGGAGCUGGGAGGCACCGGCACGUCACUAGCCGUCAGUGUAUGUUUACCAGUAUUGAAAAGUGGAGCAGGCGCAGUAGGAACGGUUUGAAGAACAUGACCAAACGGGACGUGGUUGACUAUCGGACUGGCUACAUUAGGUCCCACCUUCGGUCUCCUUCUGGACGUGUCAGAUGAUUCAGCCAAGUGGAAGCGGACUUACCGCGUCAGGGCGGAAGCCUCCCCGAAAUUUUAUUGUUCUCGGUGUGAAAUUUGAUGACGAAAACAAUAUGCGAUCUCUCACCCGAUCCCGUAAAUAUGAUUAGAGAUUACUAGAACGUGUUUUAGGAAAACAAUAAGUAAUCAAGGUGCUGUAAAAAAAGGACGGAACGUCUCGUCAACGUGAUAUCAGAUUACAUAUAAGACAACUGUAACUAUCCAAUUACAUAAUUUUUCAAGGAAACUUGCACAGGCUAUUGUAAUACUACGAGCUCUAACAACUAAAUGUUCGGACGAUGUAAAAAAUGAUAAAAAAGACAUUUUUAUAUCUAUUUAAUUUUUUUUUUUGCUUUGUCGAUUGAAUAAUCAAUUUACGCACAUUACGAUAGCACAGAAAGUGCUAUCAUAAUGAAUUAUUUUUUAUUUCGCAUGAAUUACAUAGCCAAAUAACGGAAACACCAAAUUUGCUGACAAAUAAAUUUGCGGGCGCCCAAGAAAUCAAUGCUACCCAUGCCUUGAUGGUAAAAUGUAGUGUGCUUAGAUAAAUGAGAUGUCAGUUCGGGUUGUAUCUUUCAAGUUUGUAUAAUAGUUGAUAAGAAAAUGACGCGUGGUGUUGCAACAAACAAAAAAGUGUGAGAAAUUAUCAUAUCUCAGUACUGCAGAGGUAAAUCAAUGCAAAAAAUUUCAAAUGACUUGAGUAUUGCAAAAUCAACAGUCAGGGAUAUUAUAAAAAGUAUGGAGAGACAGCUAGUGUUAGCGUUAGUGGUAAAAGUUCAGGCCGACCCCGUAAAAUCACUGAAAGAGAUCGUCGUAUUCUGGUCAAGAUUUGUAAAUCUAGCAGAAGAAGCGUCUUACGACAAAUUCACGCCCAAUGGAAUCACGAGGCAAACUAUCUCCCGGGAAUGUUGUAGACAAUGGAUGCAUAAGUCUAGUUUGAGUUUUUAUAAGAUAAGUUUACAAUUUUUCCUGUUUCAAUAUAAAAAUUAUUAAUAUUCUAUGAUCUACUUUUGUUAAAAUCUAAAAUAUCCUGGACAACGGAAACCUGGAGUAACGUUAUCUUCAGCGACGAAUCAAAAUUUGAUGUGUGAUGUAGGCGAUUUUCGAAAAAGGGUGAUUCGUAUAAAAUCAGAAGCCUUUCACAAAGACUGUCUAAAGCGUACGGUACAACUUCCCCAGGGUGUUAUGAUAUGGGGGUGUAUGAGUGGUAAAGGGGUUGGCAACUACGAGUUCAUUGAUGGUAUUGUAAAUGCAGAAAAAUAUCAACAAUUUUUAUCAAGAAGUUUGAUUCCAUCAAUAGAACGAACUUUUGGAAAUGAAAAUUUUAUAUUUCAACAAGACUGUGCGUCCUGCCAUACUGCGAAAACAACAAAAAAGUGGUUUGGGGACCAUAAUAUGAAAGUUUUAUCGUGGCCAUCAAGUAUUGAAUUAUUGAAACUUUUUGGUAUCGGAUGAAAAAGACUUUGCGUAACAAUCCUCAGCAUACAGUUCCAGCAUUAAAGGCAAAAAUCACGGAAAUUUGGAAUACUUUCACCCCCGAAGACUUUUUUGGUAUGUUUUUGAUAUUUUGUUAUGUAAUUUAUGUGAAACAAAGAAAUAAUUCAUUACGAUAGCACUUUUUUAUAUAAAAAUAAAUGCGUGAUGUUUUCUUGUUAUUUCGUACAUCAUCCGAACAAUUAGUUGUUAGGGCUCGUAUUUACAAAACUUCUGAAUUCUAUUCUGUACCUGCUUAUACAGGUUUAUUUGCAGUGAGUGUCCUAUUAGACGUUUAUGGAGAAUGAAUUACGAUAAAAACCUGAACUGUUGUUAGUUAUGUAAGCAAAUAUGAGCUAAAUACGUAAAAUAUAUUUUGGCCAUGCGGUAUUGCCAGACAUACACGUAACGCAUAUGAGCUUUCGUUUUCUAAAUGGAACACCCCCGAAUAUUAUUACAUUUUUAGAUUCUGCGAAACAGUCUGGAUCUUUUUAAUGUAACAUGUACCAUACCUAUCUUGAACAUUUUCGGAGAUAAAAAAUACUUCUUAAGGAACCCGUUAUAAAAUAACAAUUUUUUUCGCAACCCGUGAAGUCACAUGCUUGAAUUUUUGGUUGCGGUUCCCUAAUAAAUUGCUUUAUCACAAUAUUGUAGGAGAAUUAACUUAUCGUGUGUACAUAAGAUAAUUAGCAUAAUUGACAAGAUAUAACCACACCCCAUAUUUUAUAUUGGCAGUUAAAUGACAAAUUAGUUUCCCAUCUAAAAGUAC